rnacentral:RNase_P_RNA from 1 species
GGAGCAAGACCAAAUAGGGAUCCAUUGGCGUGGCCCGCGCUGGAUCCGGGUAGGUUGCUAGAGGCAGUCAGUGAUGGCUGUCGUAGAGGAAUGGCUGUCCUCGACAGAACCCGGCUUACAGAUCGACUCUCCUC